rnacentral:rRNA from 1 species
AUUGAACGCUGGCGGCAUGCUUUACACAUGCAAGUCGAACGGUAACAGGGAGCUUGCUCCGCUGACGAGUGGCGAACGGGUGAGUAAUGCAUCGGAACGUACCCAGUCGUGGGGGAUAACGUAGCGAAAGUUACGCUAAUACCGCAUACGUCCUGAGGGAGAAAGCGGGGGACCGUAAGGCCUCGCGCGAUUGGAGCGGCCGAUGUCGGAUUAGCUAGUUGGUAGGGUAAAGGCCUACCAAGGCGACGAUCCGUAGCGGGUCUGAGAGGAUGAUCCGCCACACUGGGACUGAGACACGGCCCAGACUCCUACGGGAGGCAGCAGUGGGGAAUUUUGGACAAUGGGCGAAAGCCUGAUCCAGCCAUGCCGCGUGAGUGAAGAAGGCCUCGGUUGUAAGCUCUUCUAGCCGGAAGAAAUACGCGCAGGAUAAUACUCUGCGUGGAUGACGGUACCGGAAGAAGAAGACACCGGCUAACUACGUGCCAGCAGCCGCGGUAAA